rnacentral:rRNA from 1 species
UACGUAGGGUGCAAGCGUUAUCCGGAAUUAUUGGGCGUAAAGAGCUCGUAGGCGGUUUGUCGCGUCUGCUGUGAAAACUGGAGGCUCAACCUCCAGCCUGCAGUGGGUACGGGCAAACUAGAGUGCGGUAGGGGAGAUUGGAAUUCCUGGUGUAGCGGUGGAAUGCGCAGAUAUCAGGAAGAACACCGAUGGCGAAGGCAGAUCUCUGGGCCGUAACUGACGCUGAGGAGCGAAAGCAUGGGGAGCGAACAGG